AUACGGAGGAUCCGAGCGUUAUCCGGAUUUAUUGGGUUUAAAGGGUGCGCAGGCGGCCAUUUAAGUCAGCGGUUAAAUCGUGGGGCUCAACCCCAUUCUGCCGUUGAUACUGGGUGGCUUGAUUGCGGUCGAGGUUGGCGGAAUUCGUUGUGUAGCGGUGAAAUGCAUAGAUAUGACGAAGAACACCGAUUGCGUAGGCAGCUGACCAGACCGCAAAUGACGCUCAUGCACGAAAGUGCGGGGAUCGAACAGGAUUAGAUACCCUGGUAGUCCGCACAGUAAACGAUGAAUACUUGUUUUCGGCGAUAUAAUGUCGGAGGCAAAGCGAAAGCGAUAAGUAUUCCACCUGGGGAGUACGCCGGCAACGGUGAAACUCAAAUGAAUUUACGGGG
rnacentral:rRNA from 1 species